rnacentral:rRNA from 1 species
UACAGAGGCCUCGAGCGUUAGGCGGAAUCACUGGGCUUAAAGCGUGUGUAGGCGGAUUGGUAAGUACCUUGUGAAAUCCCACAGCUUAACUGUGGAACUGCUCGGUAUACUGCUGAUCUUGAGCCACUCAGGGGCUACCGGAACAAAUGGUGGAGCGGUGAAAUGCGUAGAUAUCGCUUGGAACGCCAAAGGUGAAAACAGGUUGCUGGGGUUGUGCCGACGCCUGAG